AUGCCUUCCCAGGACCUCCAAGGCCCCUGUGGCCCCUUCCUUUCUGCAGCUUCACCCCCCAGCUCUCCCCCAGACACACCCCACACCCUGUGCUCCCGCCACGCUCGCCACCUCCCAGCCUCCUUCCAACACGCUCCUCCCACGGACCCCGCGUGCUGCGGUUCCCAUGGGUUUCCUCCCCGGGCGUCCGAGCGCUUCUCAAGGACGAGACCGGCUGUGCUGCCCGCACACGUGGCUCGUCCAGAUGCUCCGGUGUCCCCGACGGGACCAGCCCCAGCCCCUGGUGGCAGCAGGUUCCUCCACGGGCUGCUGUGGGUUUUGCUUUGUUUUCUUUUGUCUCAUUUUGGCUACAGUGUUUUGACGGGAGCUUGUGAGAAGUUAAGAGCGACUAGUUCAAGGAACAGGGUCGCCGUGGAAUGCACGACCCCUCUUCUCUUCUCCCCUCUCCACACUCUCGCACACUCAGGCUUCCUGCCGCUGCCACCCAAGGAAAUCCCUGGCCCCGAGCGUCGGAGCCGCUGCGGAGAGGACGGGAAGCCGCUGUCUUCUGACCGUGGGCCAGUCUUGGGCGUCAGCAACGAAAACGGGCUCCAGCUAACUGAAAUAGGUCAAGUAUUCUGAUGAAUCUCAGCAGUCAUUGGAUCCAUUUCCUGCCAAACUGUGACAAACCAACAAGAAGAUCAUGAUUAAUCACCCCCAAGCCCUUUGCGGCAAACAAAUGGGACAGUGUGCGAAGCAAGACAGGUUGUCCACAUUCACCUCCAAAAUUUGGUAUGGGUUAAGUGACUUUUGCACAGAUCUUCACAGUUUGCAUAGAGCUUUAUGGCUUGCACAGAGCUUUAUAGUUUGCCCUCUUACAUACAUUAUUUAUUUGAUCCCCACGAUAGGCCGCUAGGCCACCUCCCUUUCUCCUGGAGGAUUGCAAUCACCCCCUAACUUUCUUUCUUUAUGGAAAGUUGGGGUCUGCUUAACACACAAUAAAAUGCACAGGUCUCAUUGUUCACUUCCAGGAGUUUUGACAAUUGUAUACACCCAUGUAACUACCAACCCAUAGCAAGAUAGAAAACGUUUCCAAUCCCAAGGAACAGAGAGAGUCUGCAACUGCAAGCAAGACAGCCCCAUCCACCUGCCCCAUGGGGUCUAAGCCCCCUCUCAGUUAGAGGUGGAGUGGGCAUCGCCAUCCCAGACUCCUCAGGACUGGAGGAUGAGCGAUGGACUAGAGUGGACAUUAUUAUUCUACUACAGGCUUGUCAUCUAGCAAUGGAAGCAUUUGUAUCAUUGGUAUAAAGGCAGUGGCCACCCAGAGGCUCUGAGGGGAGGGAAAGGGAAGAACAGGUGUAAUAUGGGGGCAUUUUCGGGACAUUGGAAUUGUCCUCCAUGAUGUUGCAAUGAUGGAUAC
rnacentral:lncRNA from 1 species